AGAACGAACGCUGGCGGCAGGCUUAACACAUGCAAGUCGAACGCCCCGCAAGGGGAGUGGCAGACGGGUGAGUAACACGUGGGAACGUGCCCUAAGGUACGGAACAACUCCGGGAAACUGGAGCUAAUACCGUAUGUGCCCGAGAGGGGAAAGAUUUAUCGCCUUGGGAUCGGCCCGCGUCUGAUUAGCUAGUUGGUAGGGUAAUGGCCUACCAAGGCUACGAUCAGUAGCUGGU
rnacentral:rRNA from 1 species